AGAUUUUCCACCCAUCAGCUGGAGUACUAUAUUCAAUUCUGGACACAUAAGGAGGAGGAAGUGGAGAAGAUACUGGAGGGAUUCAUGGUGACAUUGGCACAUGCACAGUAUGAUGCGAGGACCGGGUCUGGCAGUGGGUGUGUGCAGAACGGCAGAGAUUUUGGCGCAUGCGCAGAAUGAAACACAAGCCAAUCCUGCUGGAAUCAUGCUAUGGUGAACACAGAACUUCAUCUCGCUUUCUGCCCAUGUCGUUAGUACCAGCAUGGACCAAGACCUCUGGCUGUUCAGAAUGACCCCUCCUUCCAGACUGUCCUGGAUCCACUCAGACAUUUUUGAUCCUGGCCAUCGGCUGAAAUAUUUUAGAAGUUUUAUCUGAUUUUUAAAAAUAAAUUAUUAAUGUGAUGUUAAUGUCACUGGCUCAGUCAGCAGUCAUUGCCCAAUCUUAUUUGCAUUCAAAAUGGUGGCAGUGACCUGCUUUUCU